rnacentral:lncRNA from 1 species
CACUGGAUUCUCACCUGAGACUUUACCCAUGCUGGCACGGCCUCAUGGUCUAAGGAGACAUCGGGGCAUACGGAGGGUUAACUGAAGGGAGAACUCUGCCGAUGCAGCUGGGAGAAAUUGCCACCCAAGCUGGGGUGAGACUUGGUGGUGGUGUGGCUGCUUUGGGCUUUCCCACGCUCCUGCUAGGACCAAUCUUCUGUCUUCCGUUGGUGUCUUGACCAAGGCUCAGAGUCUGGAAAAACAAAAGGGAUUCAGGAAAACAAAAUUUCUUCUGGAGACAUAACCCAGCCGAGAGAGCUCCGGGGCAGAGAGUCUAAAUCCCAAGUGGCUGGAGCCCAGAUCAGAGGCGCUUGUAAAUGGGGGUCUUACUAUGUAGCCCUGCAUGUCCUAAAAUUCUUCACAUAGACCACUCUCAGACUCACAGAGAUCCACCUGGUGCUGGGAUGAAAGGCGAGCGCUACUACACCCAGCCGCAUUUCAAAGUUGGAACUGACAGGAUAUCGGGAUGGCUUGGAUGAGGGUGUUAAAGGCAGGUGCAAUUGGUGGUGGGCAGCUAUGCUUCCCUGUGUGGGAUAGCUGGGGGAGGGCAGGAUUCAGGCCUAGGUCCAGGGUCCUUGGGGGGGGCCUUCCGUGGAGACCCGACCAGGAAAUCUAGGUAAGACCACAAGCAAUGAGAUAAAUCAGCUUGGAGUUCAGCAGAGAGACCAAGGACACAGCUGUCAAUUCGGAAGUCACCACAGGAGGAGGCUCUACACCCAGAGUGAGGACAGACAGAGAGGAUGGAGUGGACGACGAGCCCAGGGGUCUCUUUACUGCCUCAUGGAAUGAUAGAGGAGCCUGAAGGAUGGAGAGUGAGGUGAGAGGGGCAGAUGAAGGGGUCCUUCAGGAGGGCGUGGCCGACUGGACCAGAGCCGAGGAAGGACCCUCAGCCUUGGCAGCUUGCGGGCAGAUGACAACCUAGGGUAAUAAUGAGAGCCUGCUCUGGCUGUGUUUGAAGGAGGGCAGGCUAAAUGCGGUGCAGCAUUCUGGAUUAUACCACACGCGGAAGUGCCUUCGUGGAAAAACCUGAAAUCCAAAUAGAAUCUGGGGCCAUGAAUGAAGGUGAUUCUCAGUUCCUUCAGGAUAGACUAGUUUGGACCCCUGCUGAAUUCCACCGCUGGCGAUUUCCAGCUCUGAAGAAACAAGUCAGUAAGCAGGCUUCCUCCAGGCCCUCUGCUCCGGGGUCCAGACUUCCUACGCAGUGGAUGCAGAAAUGGAAGUAGACCCUUCCUUCAACAGAAUAUAACGAAAAUUAUUUUCAACUGUGGGGCUGGAAAGGUGGAUCAGUGGGUGAAGGGGUUUGCCUCGGGGCUGCACAGCCUGAGUUCUGGUCCCUGGGAGAAAGUGGAGAAAGUGAGAGGUGACUCCAAAGGCUUGUCUACAACCUUCACGCCUGUGCUGUAGCAGGCAGGGGCGCAGGCACACACAAAACUGAUCAGUCAAACUGCCAACUCCUUCUCCUUCUACG